UACGUAGGGACCAAGCGUUGUUCGGAUUUACUGGGCGUAAAGGGCGCGUAGGCGGCGUGGUAAGUCACUUGUGAAAUCUCUGAGCUUAACUCAGAACGGCCAAGUGAUACUGCUGUGCUAGAGUACAGAAGGGGCAAUCGGAAUUCUUGGUGUAGCGGUGAAAUGCGUAGAUAUCAAGAGGAACACCGGUGGCGAAGGCGGUUCUCUGGGCAUUACCUGACGCUGAGGAGCGAAAGCAUGGAGAGCGAACAGG
rnacentral:rRNA from 1 species